AGCAUCCAUCAAGAGAGGGGGGACAAAACCAAGCAUCAUGGGAUGACGGUGGUUUCAGCAACAGCACAAACCUACCGGUCCAUAUAACUGUAACUACCAGUCAUUAUAAGUCUGUCUUUUCCUCUUCUUCGUCUUUCCACACGUAUCCAGAGUUCUGAUAUUCCUUAUGUAAUUUGGGCUCUCUGCCUCUUUGCUGGGUCUCUCUGCAAUCUUUGAUUGGGAACCUUUCUGCGAGUUUUUCGGUUUAUACUUCCCCGAUGGCAAGGCCGGCAAACAAGAUUAUUAAUGCCAAGCUGGUGCUUCUCGGCGACAUGGGAACAGGGAAAACAAGUAUGGUCCUGAGAUUCGUGAAAGGCCAGUUUUAUGAUAACCAGGAACCCACAGUCGGGGCAGCCUUCUUCACCCAAAUAUUAUCAUUAGCUGAAGCAACUGUGAAGUUCGAUAUAUGGGACACAGCAGGACAAGAACGAUAUCACAGCUUGGCUCCUAUGUAUUACCGUGGAGCAGCCGCAGCAGUAGUUGUGUACGACAUCUCAAGCAUGGACACAUUCCUUCGAGCUAAAAAAUGGGUUCAAGAACUUCAAAGACAAGGAAACCAGAAUUUGGUGAUGGCAUUGGUGGGAAACAAAUUAGACCUGGAUCCAAAGAGAGAAGUACAAAAUGAGGAUGCAGAACAAUUUGCUCAAGAAAAUGGGAUGUUUUACCUCGAAACCUCAGCAAAGACUGCUCAAAACAUUAACGAUCUUUUCUUUGAGAUAGCAAAGAGACUGGCCCGGGCCUUGCCAUCAAGAACAGCUGGGAUAACCUUAACCGAUGAAAAACGUGAAAGAAAGAGAAGACGUUUUUGCUGCUUAGGGUGACUAACUGUUUGUGUGCAUUCUCAGAGAUUACUGAAUUCUGUCGGAGCAGCGGAAGAAAAUCGGGUUUAACAUGGUCAUCGUAAUCAGGCAAAUUAGGAUGAACAUGCCCAGGACACAUCUCGUUCAGAAACGACUUAGCCCGAUGAUGCCCUUUUUCUGUCUCAUUCUCAUUUGACUCAGUCGGGGAUGUGGACUCUGCUGGUAGCGAAGAUGCUCGAGUCGGUGGGGUUCCAAACUCUGCUUUCUCGCUCGCGUGCCUUCUUGAGUGGCUAGACUCAUGGGAGAAGUUGCUUUCUUGCAAAGGUGACGGUCUGAGGGACCCUUUCAGUCUGUUGCUCGGCUCAUAAGGAGACGCCUUCUUCUUACUAUAAUGCAUCAGCAGCCCAUCAAUAGCUCUAUCUUCUUCAUCCACUUCAUUGUGACUAUAACUUGUAUUUGCGGAUCUCGGGCUCUGUUCAGCUUCAC